rnacentral:rRNA from 1 species
AACGAACGCUGGCGGCAUGCCUAACACAUGCAAGUCGAACGAGACCUUCGGGUCUAGUGGCGCACGUGUGCGUAACGCCUGGGAACCUGCCCUUAGGUUCGGAAUCACUCCCCGUAAGGGGUGCUAAUACCGGAUAAUGUCAUAGGACCAAAGAUUUCUCGCCUUUGGAUGGGGCCGCGUUGGAUUAGCGAGUUGGUAGGGUAAAAGCCUGCCAAGGCGACGUUGCAUAGCUGGUCUGAGAGGAGGACCAACCAGGGUGGGACUGAGACACGGCCCAGCCCGCGACGGAAGGGAGCGGAGGAGAACAUUGGGCGAGGAGCGAUGAUGUAGUACAGCAGUGCCGGGGAAGAGAGGAAGGGGUUAGUGUUGUAAAGUCCUCUGAGACGGGGUGUGAAUGACGGUAACGGGUAAAUAAGCACCGGCUAACUCCGUG